rnacentral:rRNA from 1 species
AUUCACCCAUGUCUUUUGCGCACUUCUUGUUUCCUGGGCGGGUUCGCCCGCCACCAGGACCAAACCAUAAACCUUUUUGUAAUUGCAAUCAGCGUCAGUAAACAAUGUAAUUAUUACAACUUUCAACAACGGAUCUCUUGGUUCUGGCAUCGAUGAAGAACGCAGCGAAAUGCGAUACGUAGUGUGAAUUGCAGAAUUCAGUGAAUCAUCGAAUCUUUGAACGCACAUUGCGCCCUUUGGUAUUCCAAAGGGCAUGCCUGUUCGAGCGUCAUUUGUACCCUCAAGCUUUGCUUGGUGUUGGGCGUCUUUUGUCUCUCACGAGACUCGCCUUAAAAUGAUUGGCAGCCGACCUACUGGUUUCGGAGCGCAGCACAAUUCUUGCACUUUGAAUCAGCCUUGGUUGAGCAUCCAUCAAGACCACAUUUUUUAACUUUUGACCUCGGAUCAGGUAGGGAU